rnacentral:tRNA from 2 species
GCGGGGAUAGCUCAGUUGGGAGAGCGUCAGACUGAAGUUCUAACUUCAUUCUCUGUUAAUCUGAAGGUCGUGUGUUCGAUCCACACUCACCGCA